rnacentral:rRNA from 1 species
GCUCAGGAUGAACGCUGGCGGCGUGCUUAACACAUGCAAGUCGAACGGUGAACACGGAGCUUGCUCUGUGGGAUCAGUGGCGAACGGGUGAGUAACACGUGAGCAACCUGCCCCUGACUCUGGGAUAAGCGCUGGAAACGGCGUCUAAUACUGGAUAUGUGACGUGACCGCAUGGUCUGCGUUUGGAAAGAUUUUUCGGUUGGGGAGGGGCUCGCGGCCUAUCAGCUUGUUGGUGAGGUAAUGGCUCACCAAGGCGUCGACGGGUAGCCGGCCUGAGAGGGUGACCGGCCACACUGGGACUGAGACACGGCCCAGACUCCUACGGGAGGCAGCAGUGGGGAAUAUUGCACAAUGGGCGAAAGCCUGAUGCAGCAACGCCGCGUGAGGGAUGACGGCCUUCGGGUUGUAAACCUCUUUUAGCAGGGAAGAAGCGAAAGUGACGGUACCUGCAGAAAAAGCGCCGGCUAACUACGUGCCAGCAGCCGCGGUAAUACGUAGGGCGCAAGCGUUAUCCGGAAUUAUUGGGCGUAAAGAGCUCGUAGGCGGUUUGUCGCGUCUGCUGUGAAAUCCCGAGGCUCAACCUCGGGCCUGCAGUGGGUACGGGCAGACUAGAGUGCGGUAGGGGAGAUUGGAAUUCCUGGUGUAGCGGUGGAAUGCGCAGAUAUCAGGAGGAACACCGAUGGCGAAGGCAGAUCUCUGGGCCGUAACUGACGCUGAGGAGCGAAAGGGUGGGGAGCAAACAGGCUUAGAUACCCUGGUAGUCCACCCCGUAAACGUUGGGAACUAGUUGUGGGGUCCAUUCCACGGAUUCCGUGACGCAGCUAACGCAUUAAGUUCCCCGCCUGGGGAGUACGGCCGCAAGGCUAAAACUCAAAGGAAUUGACGGGGACCCGCACAAGCGGCGGAGCAUGCGGAUUAAUUCGAUGCAACGCGAAGAACCUUACCAAGGCUUGACAUAUACGAGAACGGGCCAGAAAUGGUCAAC